rnacentral:snRNA from 1 species
AUACUUACCUGGUGUCGGGGUGACCGUGGUCAAUAUGGCGGUGCCCCCAGGUAGAGGCGCGGGCAUUGCACUGCGCUCGUGCUGACCCCUGCCACUACCCCAAACUGGGGCAGAUGGGGCAUGCAAUUUUUGGUAGUGGGGGACUGCGUUCGCGCUCUCCCCCU